UAAGCAGCAAAUCCCAAAUAUAUCUUAGCUUUAGCUACUAAUGAUAAGGCAUUUAUAUUUCAACAAUACACACACACACACACACACACAUUUAUAUAGAGAGCUUGAGUUUCCAACAGCUUUGACUGGGCUGUGAACGUUUCAUAAAUGUUAUCUCGCGAGACGAGAGUCCCUUCGACUACAGUACGUGGCUUCACAGCUGAACAGCAGAGGUUCAGGGGUGCAGCGGUUUACAGGUAGAGAUGGUGUUUACAUACCCAGUAUUAAUUCACAGAUAACUAGCUGCCGCUGUUUACACACUGGACGAGUCUGGGUGUAAAUGAUAAAGACAACCGUCCUCGAGAAGGCUUUUUAACGUUGACCCUCCUUCCUUCCCCCGGGAACAGGCAGUGAAGGAGCCUCCGCCGGUGUGAGGUCACAAAGCCCCCUCGGCUCGACAUGGCACAGAGCGGCUCCUCGGCUGAAUUGUCCGGCUCCUUGACGAGCUCGGCUCUUCCGCCGCCCAGGACCCGGAUCUUCAAAAUCAUUGUCAUCGGGGACUCGGGCGUCGGCAAGACCUGCCUCACGUACCGCUUCUGUGCGGGCAAGUUUCCCGAAAAGACCGAGGCCACCAUCGGGGUGGACUUCAGGGAGAGGCUGGUGGAGAUUGACGGAGAGAAAAUCAAGAUCCAGCUGUGGGACACUGCUGGCCAGGAGCGCUUCAGGAAGUCCAUGGUACAGCACUACUACCGCAACGUGCACGCUGUCGUGUUCGUCUACGACGUGACCAACGCCCCCAGCUUUCGCAGCCUCCCUGCCUGGAUCGAGGAGUGCAAGCAGCACGCUCUGGGCACAGAGGUGCCCAGGAUCCUGGUGGGAAACAAGUGCGACCUCCAGGACUCCAUCCAGGUGGGCACGGACGUGGCGCAGCAGUUUGCGGACGCUCAUUCCAUGCCGCUGUUUGAAACGUCUGCAAAGAGCCCAAACAGCCUGGGAGACGGAAACUACCGCAACAGCGACCACGUCGAGGCUAUCUUUAUGACUGUGGCCCACAAGCUGAAGUCCCAGAAGCCCCUGGUGCUGAGUCAGCCGCCAGAGGGCUCGGGAGGCACCGUCAUCCUUGGCGGUGGGAGGAAUGAUGGGGGGGAUGGAGGCAAGGGGUGGAGCUGCAGCAGCUGCUGAGGAAAACAACAUCAGGGUGAUGCUGUGCAAGCCUCAUGAGAAGAAACGAGCAGUGAGGAUAGAAUUACUGAAGGAAGGAAGAGGAUUAAUGUGUUGACUGCUUCAGUUUUCCAGACUUUAUUUAGAACGUGAUUGGGCCGGAAAUGAUGGUAAACCUGUCGAUCAAUCAGAGCUUCUAUUAGCUCUUCAGACUUGUAGAAAGAUUGUAAAAUAACAGAGCACUGACGAACCAUCCUGCUUGUUUACAUAUUCACAUUAGUUGCUUUACGUCAUGAGCUUCAUCCAACUGUUUCCUGGUCAGCCACACAGGUUGUCCAAUAUUUGAAUUUCCAAAUAUCCUGUCUAAUCCAGUAACUUUACGAUAGAUUUUCCCCCCUAAACACCCAAGACUUUAGCAGUAAAUUCAAAUCUAAAGUGCAAUGUUUGGUUGUUGGAGACCAAAAGUGAUUGUGACAAACCAUCUUCACCUUAACUAGCUGAGGACGACCAGUCCAGGCAUGUCCACUCUGCUUGGGCCGAUCCGGGUAGUUCUGGGUAUUCAGCUUGGUUUGGUGCCUUCAGGGCCCAGCUCUCUGUGAAUGUCACAGUUCGGUUUGGGCGUUUCCAAUCCAGGUCCCAUCUUGAUGAUGUAUCUGACACUUUCAUCCCAGACUUGCAGGGAGGCUUAGUACACUUAUUUAAAAGAUGGCGGAUUAAAAAAAACCCGAGAAAUGAGUUAACAUGGUGGGAGCCUGGACUGGUGCAACCUCUGAACAGAAUGAUCAACAGGUGAAUCCAGUUUUGUGUUGGGUGCUGACCUAAAGGGUCAACAUGUCAUCUACUGCAGGUAAGACACUGACAGCUCACUCUAGUUGAGCUGUCCCUUUAAAUCACCAACCAACGCAGCACAGCAGUGAGCUGCAGGAGUCCAUCUUUGGCUAGCUAGACAACACCUGUGUUGAAUGUUUAGCCUUUUAUUUUUUCUGUUUUAACGUAGAUUUGGAGCCAGUUGCCCCUUUCACCGAUCCAAAACAGUACCAGGAAUCAGACCCAGAACAGGAAGGUUUCCUGAUAAAGCUACAGCUCUGUUCAGCUGCUGUGGAACCACAGCUGGUCCUGUGGUUCUGCUGCUGAUCACCUCAAGCUUCACACCGUCAGUAGGAACCCCAUGCUUUCUCUCAAGACUUUCUGUUCAGAUGCCGUACGCUCAGAUGAAGAACUUAAUCAAGUCUCGCUGUGGUCCAUCCAUGUGGCUACAACAGAAGCCGGACUGAGCGGAUUCUGCCAGAUCUGUCGCUACUUUCCUCUGUCUGAUUCAUCUGCUGCUCUGGAUCUCACUGGAAAUGGCCUGGAGGAAAACAGACUAGCACCUGUAAUCUGUAAAUAAGUGAAGCUGUUUUCACCCUGCAAUAAACUUUCAUGACACAAA